UGGGGAAUCUUCCGCAAUGGGCGCAAGCCUGACGGAGCAACGCCGCGUGAGUGAAGAAGGGUUUCGACUCGUAAAGCUCUGUUGUCGGGGACGAAUGUCAGGACUCAGAAUAUGAGUUCUGAAUGACGGUACCUGACGAGGAAGCCACGGCUAACUACGUGCCAGCAGCCGCGGUAAUACGUAGGUGGCGAGCGUUGUCCGGAAUUAUUGGGCGUAAAGGGAGCGCAGGCGGGAAGGUAAGUCUAUCUUAAAAGUGCGGGGCUCAACCCCGUGAGGGGAUGGAAACUAUCUUUCUUGAGUGCAGGAGAGGAAAGCGGAAUUCCUAGUGUAGCGGUGAAAUGCGUAGAUAUUAGGAGGAACACCAGUGGCGAAGGCGGCUUUCUGGACUGUAACUGACGCUGAGGCUCGAAAGCGUGGGGAGCGAACAGGAUUAGAUACCCUGGUAGU
rnacentral:rRNA from 1 species